UUCCCUUGAGCAGUCCACGCCUUGUGGCGGCUUUGCGGAGCUGCUGCUUUGGCGGGAGUUGGAAGCUGGUGUGAGGUUUCUGUGGGGAGAAGGAGAGUGCCAGAGGUGACUGGUUCGUGGUUCUUCUAGGCUCUCAUGGCCACCAUGUUGGAAGGCAGAUGCCAAACUCAGCCAAGGAGCAGCCCCAGUGGCCGAGAGGCUAGCCUGUGGUCGUCAGGCUUUGGGAUGAAGCUGGAGGCUGUCACUCCAUUCCUGGGCAAGUAUCGCCCCUUUGUGGGUCGCUGUUGCCAGACCUGCACCCCCAAGAGCUGGGAGUCCCUCUUCCACAGAAGCAUAACGGACCUAGGCUUCUGCAAUGUGAUCCUGGUGAAGGAGGAGAACACAAGGUUUCGGGGCUGGCUGGUUCGGAGGCUCUGCUAUUUCCUGUGGUCCCUGGAGCAGCACAUCCCCCCCUGCCAGGAUGUCCCACAGAAGAUCAUGGAAAGCACCGGGGUGCAGAACCUCCUCUCAGGGAGGGUCCCAGGAGGCACUGGGGAAGGCCAGGUGCCUGACCUUGUGAAGAAGGAGGUACAGCGCAUCCUGGGUCACAUCCAGGCCCCACCCCGUCCCUUCCUGGUCAGGCUGUUCAGCUGGGCGCUGCUGAGGUUCCUGAACUGCCUGUUCCUGAAUGUGCAGCUCCACAAGGGUCAGAUGAAGAUGGUCCAGAAGGCCGCCCAGGCAGUAAGGCCCGCCCUCCAUUGGGUUGGGGAUGGUGGGAGCAGAAGAGCAGAGGCUGGGCCAAGCCCUUAAGUCAGGAGCAGUCCCCAUCUGGUCCUGCUUCCUGGCCUCUCUGUUCCCAGCCAUACAGCAGUCCAGUCCCCAUCAGCUGGUGGGAAAAAUCCCCUGCUCUUUGCCGACCUUCCCUUAUGUCUCACGGCCCUGCUCCCAUGGGGCUUCCUCUAACGUCUUUCCAUCAUGGUCUUAACAACCAUGACGUCAGUGCGUCGGUGCAGUUACCUUAAGAGUUGUCUAAAGGCUCCUUUGCUUUUGGGAAAUGUGCUCAGAGGAAGAACUCUGCAGCUGAACUGUCCCUCCCUCUGGGGCUGCCCUGGGUCUUUGGCUGCCUGUGUCCUCAGGGUGGGGCAGGUUGGCACUUCCCUCUGGCUCUCCCCGGAGCAGGGCUUGCCGCUUGUCCUCCUCUCUACUCACAAAACCCUCCUGGAUGGGAUCCUGCUGCCCUUUAUGCUGCUCUCCCAGGGCCUGGGUGUGCUUCGUGUGGCCUGGGACUCCCGCGCCUGCUCCCCUGCCCUCAGAGCUCUGCUGAGGAAGCUUGGGGGGCUUUUCCUGCCCCCAGAGGCCAGCCUCUCCCUGGACAGCUCUGAGGGGCUCCUUGCCAGGGCUGUGGUCCAGGCGGUCAUAGAGCAGCUGCUGGUUAGUGGGCAGCCCCUGCUCAUCUUCCUGGAGGAACCUCCUGGGGCUCUGGGGCCACGGCUGUCAGCCCUGGGCCAGGCUUGGGUGGGGUUUGUGGUGCAGGCAGUCCAGGUGGGCAUCGUCCCAGAUGCUCUGCUGGUACCAGUGGCCGUCACCUAU
rnacentral:lncRNA from 1 species